CGACCGGCGCACGGGUGAGUAACGCGUAUCCAACCUGCCCUUUACUAUGGGACAGCCCGUCGAAAGGCGGAUUAAUACCGUAUGUUGUCAUGUUGAUGCAUAUUUUCAUGACCAAAGGCUUCGGCCGGACAGGGAUGGGCAUGCGGCGCAUUAGGCAGUAGGCGGGGUAACGGCCCACCUAACCGACGAUGCGUAGGGGUUCUGAGAGGAAGGUCCCCCACAUUGGUACUGAGACACGGACCAAACUCCUACGGAAGGCAGCAG
rnacentral:rRNA from 1 species